GACGAACGCUGGCGGCGUGCUUAACACAUGCAAGUCGAACGGGUCUGCCCUGUUUUUUGCGGGGUGGGUCAGUGGCGAACGGGUGAGUAACACGUGAGUAACCUGCCCCUCACUUCUGGAUAACCGCUUGAAAGGGUGGCUAAUACGGGGUGUUCUGGCUGUGCCGCAUGGUGUGGCUGGGAAAGAUUCACUUUUGUGGUGUUUUGGUGGGGGAUGGGCUCGCGGCCUAUCAGCUUGUUGGUGGGGUGAUGGCCUGCCAAGGCUUUGACGGGUAGCCGGCCUGGGAGGGUGGGCGGUCACACUGGGACUGAGGUACGGCCCAGACUCCUGCGGGAGGCAGCAGUGGGGGGUAGUGCACAAUGGGCGGAAGCCUGAUGCAGCGACGUCGCGUGAGGGAUGGAGGCCUUCGGGUUGUGAACCUCUUUCGCCGGUGAAGAAGGUCCUGCUCUUUGUGGUGGGGUUGACGGUAGCCGGGUUAUGAAGCGCCGGCUAACUACAUG
rnacentral:rRNA from 1 species